ensembl:lncRNA MIR9-2HG MIR9-2 host gene
AACAACGCCCGCACUACCUUCUGAUUCUCCACCUCCUCUUCAUCCUCCAUCCCCCUUUUACUUCUCUCUCCCCCGUCUCUCCUCCCUCCCGCCUCCUUUCUCCCUCUCCCCCUCCCUCUCUCCUCUGAAUAAGCAAGCUUUUGCCUCUAAAAGUCACAAGUAAUCCUCGUGUGUGACAGAGAGAGAGAGAGAGAGAGAGAGAGAGAGAGAGAGAGAAACGAGCUGGCGGAGAGGAGCAGAAGGCAGGAGGGGAAAUCUGGCACAACGGCUGGGAGAGGAAACUUGAUGCUUCUGGGCCACCAUUUGCCAGGGCCUCGCUCGAGCCGGCGCCUCGGUUCCUGCCCAGCUGGAUUUGGGGGGCAGCAUUGCCUGGCGCAGGGAGAUCAAAUGAGACUGCAAAGAAGCAUAAAAUGAAUAGACAAUCCAACCAACCAAAGACCGGGGGCAGCAGCAGGCCAGCAAGACGGCAUCUUCUCCUUCCCAGCCUAGAAGCCCUGUGAAAUCGAGGAUCUUCCCCCUAAAACACAUACACACAAGAUAUGUGCAAUCAAGCUGCCACCGCUUGGUAAAAAGCCAUGGUGCCUAACCAAAAAGGAUCAGGAACAGAUCCUUGAAUCAGCUGUCACUUCUAUAGAAUGGGAUUUUUUUUUCCUUCCUCCUUAACCUGCGCUGGAAAUUGCCGUUGGCUUUAUACAUCUCUAUAGAGAGAGGCUAAAGAGUCUUGCGUGAGAAAGAAGCAAUUUACAAUGCAAAUAGAGGCCUGUGAAGGGACGGAUGCUGCUGCUCACUCGUAACAGCUUGCUGCACCUUAAUAGCUGGUUUUAUUUUCUGAUAUUAAUAGAUGAAUUGUUGGCUAACGCUGCCGGAGAUUACUUGCUGAAAGGAAAAAGAAAAGUUCGGAAUAAACUCUGAAGGCAACAGAUCUCGUUUGGAUGUUUUAGCCGCGCACACACACAAACAGAAACCAGGUCAUAUUUACAUAAAAGGAGGAAUCUUAAGCGCGGCAAGUAUCCUGGACGACCACUCUUCGGUACUGCCAGAAAGGAUCAGGACCUGGAGUCUGGCAAGAGGAAGACAGAGGCCUGUGUGGGAAGCGAGUUGUUAUCUUUGGUUAUCUAGCUGUAUGAGUGUAUUGGUCUUCAUAAAGCUAGAUAACCGAAAGUAAAAACUCCUUCAAGAUCGCCGGGGAGCGUGUGAGAAUGAAAGACUACAGCCGAGAGACAGUAAAAACCAGAAAGGUCAGGAAUACUUAUUGAAUCUAACUUUGUUUUUGUUUUGUUUUUUUCCUUAUGAUUAAAGGUGGGAUGAGAGAAAAUUAAAUGACACACACAUGCUAAAAUAUCAAGGUUCCAGAUAUGUCUUGAGAGGGGUUGUUGCAGCUGCAAAGGAGAAGUGUAUAGUGAUAAUGAGUAAAGAUGCAUGUGCAGUUUGUUCUAUUUUAAGGCAAAAGUUAUAUCAGGGAUUUUUUUCUUAGAAAGGUGUUGCAGAGAUGUCUGGUACCUAGUUUAAAAAUGAUUCCAUAAUAUGUAGACUUGGGCAGUUCCUUUGGGAGGCACCUCCCUCUCAAAAUUUGAAGAUUGUGCUUGGAAAUUACUUUACAUGUAUUUGGGCUGUAUGUCAAUUUGUACGAAAUUAGACUUUCAGAAAAGUUUAUACUGGAAGGUUAAUAAUUUGUAUCUACUGAGGACUUAGAGCUAGCAGGCAAAAUGAAAAAAAAAAAAAAAAAAGCAAGGGCUGAUUUUUAUUCUUCUAUUCAAAAUACAAGGACAGAUGCUUCUCUGUUCCAAGAGGGUUUCCUUGAGGAAGCUACUGAAGCAGAAAGACAUGAUGGAGACGAGAUCGCCUCCCCUCUUGUCAAAGUGUUAAAAAAAUGUUCUGUCUUACUCUGCGCCUAGCAUUGGAAAUGAAAGUGACAUUUACGCCACAACCCACGUGUGCGCCUCCUCUCUUUUUGUUUAAGGAUGAUCAGGUCUAUCCAGGAAACAGCUCUGGCAUCCCAAACUGAAAUAAUUAGGACGUAUAUAGACCUGACAAAAAUGGAAAGGGGGUGGGGAAUCUGAGGGUCUGUCUUGCCUAAUUGAUUCCGCUAAACGGAAUGCAGGAGAUGUGAACGGCAGGACGCUCCGAUUCCCACGCUCGGGGGCAAGUGAUAAAGCGGGGCCGGGCAGCCUAUGACAGACAGCCCUGUUGGGGGGUGGGGGUAUGAAAAAAACAUCAAGUGCACACACCAUACUCAUCUCCAUCGCUUAAGAAAGUAAAGGCAUUUCCCACCCACAGCCAUCUGCAGCUUCCCAAAUGGCAGCACCAACUGGUCUGUAGCUGCUACAUAGUCUGCUUCUGUUAAUUUUUUAACCACUGUUUAAUCUGGCCAUAAUUAAGUUUGGCUUUCUUCGUUGUUUGAGAUUUUCAGAAUUCAAGGCAAGCUAGUAGAAAGCAAUUCCAAGAAAGUCCCAUGACUGCCUGCCCCUAAUGUCAAAAUCUCAGUCCAUGAGAUUAUGGCCUUGUGACCACAUUUUUGCUUUUGUUUUGGGUGGGCAAAUGUGUAUAGAGAUAAAAUACAUAUCUCUAUAUAACAGUCGUUAUUAUAAUUUCAUGAGGCUUUUUACCUCUUAACAUGAUACAUCUAGGAACUUGGUCUAAUUGUGCUAGUAGAUAUACACUAGAAGUAAAACUAUAAAGUCAUUAGCCUGUAGAAAGUUGAUUAUGAUAACAAUAUGAUAAAAAGUUUGUUUUGGAAUAGUCUCAGCUAGAUGGGUCUAAAUAGCCAUUUUAAUGUAAUCUAAAAAUAACACUAUGCCUAGCAGAAACUUUGGCGCUUUGGAGGUCCCCAUUGUCGCCUUUUCAUAAAAGUCCUUAAGUUUUCCAUAUGUCACCAAGCAAACAUUUGUAUAGGCAUUUACACAGAAAUAUAACCAUUGCAAUUAGAAAAUAUCCAAAAUAGCCUGUUAUCUUCCACGUGGCCUAGAUUAUUGACAAUCCCAAAUAUACAAUUUUUCUUUAAAAGUAGUACAAUUUCCUUUGUAGCUUCAAUUCCUUAUAUGACUUCAGACUGGAGAAGCCUGUUAAACCACUGUUAGUUUCAGUUAGAAAGUCUGAGAGACUUUAUACAUAAAUUCUCAAUUUGGCUGCUGUACACGUGCCAGAGUUUUACUACUGUAGUGACCGUUGAGAAGACCCUUGUUUAUUUACAUUUGAAGCACUGUUUGUGCAAACAACCUUUCAUUGUUAAGUGCCUGUAUUCCUUUCAUUUACUUCAUGUCCAGGGGUGCUAUUUACCUAGAACCAUUGUCUACUACAAUUAACAUUUACAUUACAAAGUGUGUGGUUUUCUUUUUCAAGGAGGUUCAAUUAAGGCAAUAAGAUGUUUGCUGGAGAAACCUAUUGUUUACUGAAAGCACUCAAUGAAGUCAAAUUACUGAAGCUUUUGCCUACAUCUUGGUCUUUUAUGUAAAUAUGUUAAAUAUAACAUCUAAGGAAAAUAAACAAUAUUAUAAUUAUGUGUUUGCCAUUGUCAUAUCAAACUUGCUUUGUAUCAUACUAAUGUUACAUAACUUAUCGAUCAAUAAAAAUACAUUUCAAUGUU